UGUCCGGGCGCGCUCCUCCCGCGGCUCCAGGCGUCCUGCCGCCCUGCCCGGAGCCGGCCCGGGUCCCCCGCCCUACAGGGCGCUCCCCGCACCCGGCGCGGAGGCUGGCGAGCGGAGGUCGCGACGAGAGGUUGAACCGCGGUGGCGCGCGGCUUGCGGACCCUCAGGCGUUCCUUUGAUACCGUGGACGGAGACCGCUCUUCUGCCCGAGAGUCGUUCAAAACGAGCCGGUGUCUCUGUGGGAGUCCUCUCAGAUCUUCUUCACAAGAACUUCCCGCCUACCUGCUCUGAUGAGUACUAGAUGCUCAGACAUCGGAAGCAGCCACGAAAGGUCCCCCUCCCCUCCAGAAGGCUGUGCUCGGAUCCAGCAACCCAUCACAAGGCAGAGCUUCACCUCUGCGAGAUUAAUCACGAGCAAGGCCAAGUGUCAGGCUGGGAUGUGAGACUGAUCCUGCCGGAGGACAUGCAAUGGGAGGCUAAUGCUGCCUUUUAUCCAGAAAGCAAAGUUCAGAGAUGUUUGCAUUCUGCUAGGUAAGCAUGGCUCUCUCGAGACCUAACCUAGAUGGACUGCCCUCUCAGCAGGAAUUCUCGCCAAGGCAGCACACAGGUGUGCCUCAGUGGACCCACCUGAGCCACAGAGGCCAGAGAUUCAGAACUGCUCAUUUUGCAAAUAGCUUGAUUUCCUCAUGUUUUAAUUCGCAUGAAGUAUUACAAAUUCAUUUUAUUCAAGAGACUGGUAAAUGAAAACUGGAUUAAGAUCUAUGCAGUAGAUCUGGUGGCCAGCUUCAGACCACACCAGAGCACCAUCCAACCAGCUCUAAAAACAAUAUACUUGAAGGGCAGACUCAGUUGGCAUCAGAGCCUUGGAAAGGCAACUCCUGCUCUGUGGGGUCAGUCCCUGCACAAUAGCUCCUCUGGUGUAGUCACAGCCAGUCAGCCUGAGGGUCAAAACCACACACUGUUAUGCCAACAGCAGUCAAGACUCUAAUACAACAGGAGGGCACACACCCUGAAGCACUUAAAUGUAAAACCCAAAACCAUAAAACUUUUAGAAGAAAUCAUAAGCAGUAAACUCUGACAUUGCUUUUAGUAAUA